rnacentral:lncRNA from 1 species
ACCGUUGGAGGGAACUAAAGGACAUUGACGUUGACAAUAGUAAAGAGGGAACUAAAGGACAUGGGAGGGACCAACUCCAUAUGCUUUUCGACUUCAAUUUUGUACAACCUUUUGGCCUCCAAUAUCAAGGUGGUAUCAAAGUUCCUUCACUUAUCGGCAUAUGAAGGGAAAUGGGUCUUAAUAUCAUGAUCGGUGAGCUUCGCUAUCGUAGACGUAAUAACUGCAUGGAUUUUGAUGACAUACUCUCGAGGGAUCGUUGCCCUCACCAGUUCUGUUGAAGAUGUUGAUGAAUCAUGAUGGUUUGCCUGCGAGGUUAGUCAAUCGAGCACUUGGAAAUUGACGAUUGCCAUGAUGUGGUUAACCAUUCUGAGAUCAACAACUUUCACCUAAGAUGGCCAUUGAAGGACUUUGCUAAUCGUGACUCCUUUUGCUUCUAGAGACGGUGAUGCAAGUCCUCAAUCAUUGCCUUCAUUUGGACGUUCCAUUCCUUCAAUUGUUUUGUGUACCAAUAAUAAUUGCUCUCCCAACAUAAAUUCAUUUCAAUUAUGCUACAAAUACAGAAUUUUUUGACAGAAAAACCUUACAUACAUUACAUGGCAUGGCAUUAUUAGAAGACGGGGAGUAAAAAGAAAACACUGUCCACUCAUUCUACUAUUGCAUUAUUAUAAGCAGUAAAAUGACUAAACACACCAUACAGANNNN